GGACUACCCGGGUUUCUAAUCCUGUUUGAUACCCACACUUUCGUGCCUCAGUGUCAGAUGUGACCUGGUAAGCUGCCUACGCUAUCGGAGUUCUUCGUAAUAUCUAAGCAUUUCACCGCUACACUACGAAUUCCGCCUACCUCGUUCAAUCUCAAGAAACCCAGUUUCAACGGCACACUUACAGUUAAGCUGCAAAAUUUCACCGCUGACUUAAAUCCCCACCUACGCACCCUUUAAACCCAAUAAAUCCGGAUAACGCUCGCAUCCUCCGUAUUACCGCGGCUGCUGGCAC
rnacentral:rRNA from 1 species